UAAAGCUGCUAUCAAAUGCAAGCUGGCUGGAGUUCAGAAUUGGGGCCAAUAUUUUUAACAGCAUGAAAUUUUGUUGUAGGCCCUCUGGAAGGAUUCUGUAUCUGAAACAUUGAACUGGAGUGAAAUCAAGACUGAAGUCCCCUGUGUGGAAAAACAGGGCUGCUGAGUUGUGGUACGAGGUCAGGCCCGUGGUCACUCUCUUCUGACACCAGCAAGGUCAUUUUCAUGCCCAGUGACCCCACCUUUGCUGGCUCAAGCACAAACACCCUUUCUGAAGAACGAUACCAAAGUCAGCCUCCGUUUCCUCAGUUUCUUCCUGUUCUACCCUUGGCAUCCCAACAGUGACCUUGGGCUCCAGUGCACGCAGACAAACUUUUGCCACUCAGGAAAGUCUGUGCUCAGAUUAAACCACACCAUCCCUGUGGCAAGCUCAGAAUUAAGGCUCAAGAACUGUCAUACCAAGAUCUUGAAAUUCUGGCUUUGCACCCAAAAGUCUCCUUGGCCACAGUGAGACGGAAUGGGCUCAAGGACCAAAAGCACGCUCAGAAAUGUGCUGAUGCACUGUGUUCUCCAGAGUCAGUAUUUUUCGAGUGCUGCUGUGCUCUUUCAAAGGAGGAAAAAACAACCCAAAGAAGAUUCACGGAGUUAGAAGGACCAAGUUCCUAUGGGUGCAGUAUGUGCCACAGAGUGGAAAUUAAAAACCAGAGAAUUAACAGGGUUUGUUGUGUUACAAAGCUGAAAGCGUUUUUAUCCUUAUAUGUGUGUACUCACAGAAAAACAUACUGCACUAA